rnacentral:rRNA from 1 species
CAGUCGCCGCGGUAGUACGUAGGGUGCGAGCGUUAAUCGGAAUUACUGGGCGUAAAGCGUGCGCAGGCGGUCGUGUAAGACAGGUGUGAAAUCCCCGGGCUUAACCUGGGAACUGCGCUUGUGACUGCACAGCUAGAGUAUGGCAGAGGGGGGUGGAAUUCCACGUGUAGCAGUGAAAUGCAUAGAGAUGUGGAGGAACACCGAUGGCGAAGGCAGCCCCCUGGGCCAAUACUGACGCUCAUGCACGAAAGCGUGGGGAGCAAACAGGAUUAGAUACCCGCGUAGUCCCUGUCUCUUAUAC